UACGUAGGGGGCGAGCGUUGUCCGGAUUUAUUGGGCGUAAAGAGCGUGUAGGCGGCCAGGUAGGUCUGCUGUGAAAACUCGCGGCUCAACCUCGAGACGUCGGCGGAAACCAUCUGGCUAGAGUCCGGAAGAGGAGAGUGGAAUUCCUGGUGUAGCGGUGAAAUGCGCAGAUAUCAGGAAGAACACCCGUGGCGAAGGCGGCUCUCUGGGACGGUACUGACGCUGAGACGCGAAAGCGUGGGGAGCGAACAGG
rnacentral:rRNA from 1 species